UAAGACUUGAAUACCCACGUCGCUGGUUUGGCAAAUCAGAUUUCUCAUUCAAUGCUUGAUGAUGAUGACAGUUACAGAGAUCCUGAUUUGUAUUGGGUAUCCAGGUCAAGUAACUUUGAUCCAUGCGAUGCGAGAUAAAAUGGCCUGGUUUCCACAAUCUAUCUCAUCUGCAGCGGAUAGUUGGACUACAGUGAGCUCUAAAAGUGUCAUAGGAGCUGCUAUAAGGAACAACGCCCCUGCAUAACAGCCUUCAACUCUUUUCAACAAGGACUUCCAGAUCAGGAGCUCCAGCUUCUCACGAUUUCCUUACACUCUAGAGAAGAUCCAGAGUGAUAAGAGCAGGGAAGAAGAUAGGAAACACCUUCCUUAUCAAGAGUGACGAAUGUUUACCUGUUCAAACUAUUGGGUGUCUGUCUCUAAUUCAUGAAUUCCUACAUUCUUCUGUGGACAUCAAGCAACAUCCUCAUUUCUCAUGGAAAAGCAAUUUCACGGAAUGCCCUUAACGGGACAACAUUCUUCCAUGCCUAUUCUUGGAGCCUGUGCCAGCACCUCAAUCCCAGGGUGUGCUCAUCGUGUUCCUGAAAAAACAGCAGGGCACAACUGACAAAUUCUAUGCUGGAUCAUACAUGUGUAUGAGCAUGUUCUU